rnacentral:rRNA from 1 species
AACGAACGCUGGCGGCAUGCCUAACACAUGCAAGUCGAACGAGACCUUCGGGUCUAGUGGCGCACGGGUGCGUAACGCGUGGGAACCUGCCCUUAGGUUCGGAAUAACUCCCCGAAAGGGGUGCUAAUACCGGAUAAUGUCUUCGGACCAAAGAUUUAUCGCCUUUGGAUGGGCCCGCGUGGGAUUAGCUAGUUGGUAGGGUAAAAGCCUACCAAGGCGACGAUCCAUAGCUGGUCUGAGAGGAUGAUCAGCCACACUGGGACUGAGACACGGCCCAGACUCCUACGGGAGGCAGCAGUGGGGAAUAUUGGACAAUGGGCGAAAGCCUGAUCCAGCAAUGCCGCGUGAGUGAUGAAGGCCGUAGGGUUGUAAAGCUCUUUUACCCGGGAUGAUAAUGACAGUACCGGGAGAAUAAGCUCCGGCUAACUCCGUG